CAAGUAAGACAGGUAAUCGCAGCUGCAGAUGCCGAAAGGCAGCAGGUGAGGAAAGUCCGGGCUUCACAGGGCAGGAUGCCGGAUAACGUCCGGUGGAGGCGACUCCAAGGAUAGUGCAACAGAAAUAUACCGCCAGGAUAUAAUUCUGGUAAGGGUGGAAGGGCAGUGUAAGAGACUACCGCCUUGCUGGUAACAGCAGGGGCAUAUGUAAACCCCAUUCGAAGCAAGACCGGAUAAAGACAAUGUGGCGGCCCGUCACGUCUUAGGUAGGUUGCUUGAACCCAUUGGUAACGAUGGGUCUAGAAAGAUGAUUACCCAACGACAUAACCCGGCUUAUCGUUUUGCUUGCAAU
rfam:Dorea longicatena CAG:42 genomic scaffold, scf124